rnacentral:misc_RNA from 1 species
AAGUCGUAACAAGGUUUCCGUAGGUGAACCUGCGGAAGGAUCAUUACUGAGACUGGGUGCUUCGGCGCCCGACCUCCAACCCCCUGUCUACCUUACCACUGUUGCCUCGGCGUCUCUGCCCACCCCCCUGUCACGGGGGUGGUGGGGGGUGCGCGCCGGCGGCCAAACACAGCAAACCCUUUUUAAACCAAGCAAUCUGAGAAAUUAUUUUAAUAACUUCAAAACUUUCAACAACGGAUCUCUUGGUUCUG